CUGGACCAGUGGGGUGCUGGUUGAAAGCUUGAGAAGCAGGUCUUCGAGCUUCGUUGAGCUGAAUUUGUACCCUUAGAAGCUGGUUAGGAAGCUGCUCUAACCUAGGCGAGAAGGUAUUUGACCCUUGGAUCGCCUUCGUUUGGCAUUGGAGGGCCUUCCGGAAGCUUAACGUGAGGUUUGGGACUUUGUUGAGCUGAUUCUUGGGACGUCUUGUGACUGCUUUGAGCAUAGUACGAGAGCCUGUUACAGGAGAGGCUAGGGAUCGUGGCAAGGGAGUCGCGCCUAGCUAGG